GAUGAACGCUGGCGGCGUGCCUAAUACAUGCCAGUCGAGCGAACGGACGAGAAGCUUGCUUCUCUGAUGUUAGCGGCGGACGGGUGAGUAACACGUGGAUAACCUACCUAUAAGACUGGGAUAACUUCGGGAAACCGGAGCUAAUACCGGAUAAUAUUUUGAACCGCAUGGUUCAAAAUUGAAAGACGGUCUUGCUGUCACUUAUAGAUGGAUCCGCGCUGCAUUAGCUAGUUGGUAAGGUAACGGCUUACCAAGGCAACGAUGCAUAGCCGACCUGAGAGGGUGAUCGGCCACACUGGAACUGAGACACGGUCCAGACUCCUACGGGAGGCAGCAGUAGGGAAUCUUCCGCAAUGGGCGAAAGCCUGACGGAGCAACGCCGCGUGAGUGAUGAAGGUCUUCGGAUCGUAAAACUCUGUUAUUAGGGAAGAACAUAUGUGUAAGUAACUGUGCACAUCUUGACGGUACCUAAUCAGAAAGCCACGGCUAACUACGUG
rnacentral:rRNA from 1 species